AGGCUGAUAGGCCGGGUGUGUAAGCGCAGCGAUGCGUUGAGCUAACCGGUACUAAUGAACCGUGAGGCUUAACCUUACAACGCCGAAG
rnacentral:rRNA from 2 species